ACUGCUGCAGCCCAAACCCCAACGCUUGAUUCCUACUAUUUCCCUGUUGGGAAGCACAAGAUAGCGGAAGAACCUCAUCAUAGAGACCGUCAGGAAUAAGAAAUGGAUUGCUAAUAAUUUUGAUGGCAGCAUUCAACCACAAAGCAUAAUUCUAUCAGAGCAAGGAAAACAGAAUCACCCUCCAGAUGAAUCCAAAUAGCAUCACUCACCGGAGCAUCAACUGUUACCGAGAUACUUCAAUGGAAGUAAAUAGUGGUAUUCAGCAAUCACAGGUUAAGGCAUUUUUUACCAGUUUCAUUGAAGGGUCUUACCUCAGUUUUGAUGUUAUAUUCUGGAGGCUCCUUCGGCACAGCAGUUCUUGAAUCAUCAGUUGCAGUUGCAGUUUCAAACACCUAUGCCUAUUUUCUUCAUAAAAUCACACAAGGCAAAAGAUGACAAUCGAGGAGAGGCCUACUUACUGUAGCCACCUCCUUUCAGAUGAACUCCUUUCUGGACAGACCAAUAAAGUUGUUGUCAAUUGUACCACAUUUAAUUGAAGACAGGCUUGUUAAACUACAUCUGGAAAAUCUGAUGUUGAUUCAAUCUAUAAACUGAACGCUUGCCCUUUGGCCAUGGAAUGAAUGAAUUUCACCAUGUUAUCAUCUCUAAGGCAGCAGGUAUUAAGUCUCCUGGUGUGAAGCAAAAGCAAACUUUUGUUGCCUGGUUUGGUUUUAAUUCAAAUUCACUGGGUUGAGUCUUUCUUCUUGAAAGGAGUCCAUGCGUGUUCAAAAGAGCCGCACUGUAAUUAACCAGAAAAUAACACCACUAGCUGAAACACCAGCUCCUUUGAUUCCUCCCCAAAAGACAGAAGAUUCUUCAGCUUCUGUUGUGAAUGAGUAAGCACAUCUGAGAAAAAAAAGGAAAUGACAUCUUCACCUUCUUCAUCUGGAAUGUUGAAUUGAAGCCUCAAACUCAAGAUGGGAAGAGGACAAAAUGGCAAUGAAAACAAAGGAAACUACAGUGGAUCAUAACAUAAUCCCUCAGAAGAUGUAACCCCCAGAGACAUGAAAACAGCAAGCAGAUAACAAAAAUAUAACACCAUCUGCACUUGUCUUUUUGCUCACACUGUGAUCAACUCUGAGAUUCCAGGACUAAUGUGUCAUAUGUCCAUCUAUUAAGCUCUAUGGAAUUUAAUACUAUGCAGUCUGGAUUGCUAAAGUAUCUUACCUCAGUUUUGAUAUUGUUCAGAAACGUUACUUUUAAUUUGCUGCUGAAGAUGGUCUAGUCCUGCAGCAGAAUGUUUCCACAUCUGCUCAGCACAACCACUUGGCAAAGUUAUAGUGAAACGGGAACAGCUCCGAGAAAGUUAUCAGGCAAAGUGUCUUCUCACCCCCACAGAAUGUCCCAAAGGCCUUCACAUCCGAGUUAAUUAGAUUUUUAAAUUGUAGUCACUAUUAUCCUAUAGCAAACAGAGUAGCUUAAUUGUUGCAGAGCAAGGUCAACAACCAGAGUUGAAUGAGAGUAAAUCAGUUUUCCCCAGCUCAUGGUUGAAUGGAGCCAUAGAGUCUUAUACAUCCAUCUGAACCAUUAAAACAGGCAAAGAACUGGUUUAACAUCUCAUCUGAAAGGUGAUACUCCCAAUAAUGGAGCACUGAAUCAUUAGUGUACUGAAUUGUCUUCCUAAAAACAGAAAUUAAUAAUGCAAACAUUCAAUGGGCCAAGCAGCACCUCUUGAGAAAGAAACAAAGGUAUUUCAGAUCAAAGACCUUUCAUCAGAAGAUCGUAAAUUACACGCUUAAGUGGGUCUUAAACCAACGAUAUUUUAGCUCAGAGUUUAGAGUGCUGCUAACAUAGUCAAACUGUCACUGUGGGAUUAUUGAAUGUUUAAGCAUAGGAACAGGCAGGCUAUUUAGUCAAUCAGACCUACACCAGUGUUCUUUCUGUGUAAUCCAACUCUCUUACACUCUUUUUAUGUGUCCUUUAACAUUUCUCUUUAUCAACUGAUUGUUUAAUUAUCCCUUAAAUAGUUUGUACAUUCUCAAGAAUAGUUUAUGGCAGAGAAUUCCAUAUUCUAAUCAGCCUCUUUAUAAAUAUAUUUUUCUGAAUUCCCCUUUAACUUGUUUUGUGAGUAUCUUAAAUUUGUGAAAGAAAAAAGAAAAGGAACUCACACUGAUAUAGUGCCUUCACAAACUCAGGCAUCGCAGAACACUUUACAGCUAAAUAAAUGUGCAUAUUAUUUCAUCAUCUCAUUGUAUGUGGUGAGAUGAUGACCAGAUAACCUGUUUUUAGUAAUGUUUGUUGAAAGGUAGCAGCAGGAGAGGGCACAAACUUGUAAAAUUAAUCAUCUGUCCAAGAUUCCAGGUAUCAUAAACAGCAUUCAUGCGACCAUCGUAGUUCUUAUAUUGAUUCCCAUAGUUUUCAGAAAGAGAAGGGGCUCACACUCAAUUAACAUUCAGUGAUAUCCACUUGGUCCUAUGGGACCAGUGUCUUUAUCAUUUCUACAAAGCUAUCCUUAUAAAGGGGAAGGUGUAGGAUUGGGGUGGGGACUCCCUAGAUUAGGUGUUCCUGCACCACCUUCUCAGAGUUGGGGCCAAGAGUAGUUUUGUCAGAUGUACUCCUGGCAUGCCUCAUCAAAUGGUGCCAAAACUUUAGUUCCCACUGUGAGACUGGGGCUAGAGUCUCUGAAAAUGAAAGGUUUAAAAAAUUCAAUUUUGCACCUGGCACAGAGAGCAUUUGGGGCACAUUUAUCCUCAGGGCCAAAAAUCCAUAUCAGAGCACAUCCCAGCAUAAAUGCAUCCCAGCCCAACAAAGGGCCAACCCACAUGAUGACGUGGUGAUCCUUGUCAGGGUUAGUGGCAGACCCACAGGCAAAUGUGUUUUAUGGUUUGAUUUCCAUGUUGAAUAGUAUUUGGAUCUCUCUUUGGAUAAUUCAGUCUUAGGAAGGUUUCCCUUUACUGAAGAGUGACUUGGGUCUGACUCCAGUAGGUUUCUUCAAAAGUAUUUACACUAUUUACACAAUAAGCUUCUAGGUAAGUAUAUCCCCUUUGUUGUCUAUUCUGUCUUUCGAACAGUCUCUGAUGUCACUGUUACAUCAUGAUACAUAUUACUAUCUCAUUACUGUAACUAUUAACCCAUUAUGCUACAAAAUAUAUUCCAACAUUUACUUUAUGACCUGUUCCCGUAUUCAUUUUCUGCCCCUUAUUUUCUUUAGUUUGCAAAGAAAAAGUAGAUAUUUUACUAGAUGUCAAUAGUUUAUAACAUUGAGCUUUUUUAAACUUUGCAUGGAGAAGAAAAUGUGAACUUUAGAAAUUAUGUAGUAUCACUUUUUAAGUAAGACAAAAUUUUGAUUGACAAAUUAUUUCUUCUGGCUGAAAAAAAUGCAUGGAAUUCGCAUGGUUGAUGGAAUUGUAAUAAAACCUUUGAUCCAA